rnacentral:rRNA from 1 species
GAUGAACGCUGGCGGCGUGCCUAAUACAUGCAAGUCGAGCGAACAGACGAGGAGCUUGCUCCUCUGACGUUAGCGGCGGACGGGUGAGUAACACGUGGAUAACCUACCUAUAAGACUGGGAUAACUUCGGGAAACCGGAGCUAAUACCGGAUAAUAUAUUGAACCGCAUGGUUCAAUAGUGAAAGACGGUUUUGCUGUCACUUAUAGAUGGAUCCGCGCCGCAUUAGCUAGUUGGUGAGGUAAAGGCUCACCAAGGCGAUGAUACAUAGCCGACCUGAGAGGGUGAUCGGCCACAUUGGGACUGAGACACGGCCCAAACUCCUACGGGAGGCAGCAGUAGGGAAUCUUCGGCAAUGGACGAAAGUCUGACCGAGCAACGCCGCGUGAGUGAAGAAGGUUUUCGGAUCGUAAAACUCUGUUGGUAGAGAAGAACGUUGGUGAGAGUGGAAAGCUCAUCAAGUGACGGUAACUACCCAGAAAGGGACGGCUAACUACGUG